UACGAAGGGGGCAAGCGUUGUUCGGAAUUACUGGGCGUAAAGGGCGCGCAGGCGGCCGAUCAAGUCAGAUGUGAAAGCCCCGGGCUCAACCUGGGAAUAGCAUUUGGGACUGGUCGGCUAGAGUUCGGGAGAGGAGAGUGGAAUUCCCCAGUGUAGAGGUGAAAUGCGCAGAUAUCAGGAAGAACACCCGUGGCGGAAGGCGGCUCUCUGGGACGGUAC
rnacentral:rRNA from 1 species